AUUGAACGCUGGCGGCAGGCCUAACACAUGCAAGUCGAGCGAGCGGCGGACGGGUGAGUAAUGUAUGGGGACUGCCCGAUAGAGGGGGAUAACUACUGGAAACGGUAGCUAAUACCGCAUACCACUGGAUAACCCAUAUGGGAUUAGCUAGUAGGUGAGGUAAUGGCCCACCUAGGCGACGAUCCCUAGCUGGGCUGAGAGGAGGAUCAGCAACACUGGGACUGCGACACGGGCAAGACGCCUACGGAGGCAGCAGUGGGGAAUAUUGCACAAUGGGCGCAAGCCUGAUGCAGCCAUGCCGCGUGUAUGAUGAAGGCCUUCGGGUUGUAAAGUACUUUUGGCAGAGAAGCGGUAUCUGCAGAAUAAGCACCGGCUAACUACGUGCCAGCAGCCGCGGUAAUAC
rnacentral:rRNA from 1 species